GUGAAAGUUAGUGAAUCUACACUGUUAUUGAUAUAUGCAACUGUAACUAUAAUGUUUAACUAGUUGCUUUAGUUUAUUAUUUCCUCAUGAAUUCAUCUCUUCAUACUUUAGACUGAACUAGUUUCAUCUUCCAUAUAAUGUUGUGUGUGCAGGUACAUCCUCCUCAGACACUGUGUGCUCUGACUGCAGUGAUGGAACAUUUUCAGAUGGAACAUUAACAUCUUGUCACCAACACACACAAUGUGAAUCAAAGAACCUUCAGCUGAAAACAGCAGGAACUAAGUCAACUGAUUCUGUUUGUGGGGAACAAACUUCAAAUGUUGUAGUAAUGGAAGGCAAACAAACUUCAAAUGUUGGAGUUAUUGCGGGCAAAAUAACUUCAAAUCAUGUAGUAAUGGAAGGCAUACAAAUUUCAAAUGUUAAAGUAACUGUGGGCAAACAACCUUCAAAUGUUGGAGUUAUUGCGGGCAAACUAACUUCAAAUCAUGUAGUAAUGAAACGCAUAGGAAUUUCAGAUGUUGGAGUUACUGUGGGCACAGACAAAAACAAUCAUGCAGACAACUCCAUAGAGACACCUCUACGUACACGACAAUCAGUGGAAAAAUUGAUGUCAUUGUCAGAGCAGGAGGAGGGCUAACCUGUGUAACCAGUCUAAACUCUCAGAUGAAAUCUGUUCUCUGUGGACUACAUUUGCUCCAGAAUCCAGUUAUUAUUCAUUUGGAUGCUGUCUUCACAGAGAACAGAAAAGACAAAUCAAUAAGAACAAUUUCUGGCUCAGAACAGCCUGCUGACAGUGACAUAUACUGUAGACGUUUUGGAAGUUUUGCAUGUGUUAUGUAUGAAUGGUGACUGAUGCCAUAUUAAUAGAUGAACUGUACUGAUGCCUUUGCACACCACAUAUGCUUGUUUUAAUUGCUGCUCUCUUGACAGACUUAAUAGACAGUGUGUGGCUGUCCUGGUUCUACCCGUAUCCCUUAGCAAAGUUAAGCUUUAACAUGAGUUUUAUCACUAAAUUAUUAAUAGUUUUAAAAAUAAUAAUAAUAAUACAUGAAAUAUAUAUUUGCACAUAUUUAAAACUAUAAAAUGUAAAUGUAAACAUCUAAUCUUGUGCAAGUGUUAACAUCUUCUGUCUGUCCAGAGAGCUCAGAGUACAUGGGCUGAAAAGUGUACAGAUGUUAUAGCUAGCAACGUUUUUAAUCACAUUAAUGAAUAUAAAGUAAAACUCUAGAAGUCAAGCAAAGUGAAUUAAAGCACUGUCUCUAAAACUCCAACUCCAAUCACAUCACUGUAUCCUCCAGUACUGGGCUUUUAACUGGUCUCAAGAUUAGAACAAAAACCCACGGUGAGCUCUCAUUUUAUUAAGGCCCAGGCCUGUUUGUGUUGCAUUUCUUUAUGUAUGAAAAGUGCUAGAUAAAUAAAGUUUGAUUUGAUUUGAUAUUGUUCAAAAAUACUGUAUCAUGACAUCAUUUUCUCCAAAGAUCCGUAUACAGGGUGUGCAGGUGCAGCGGUUUUUAUCCCAGAUAAAUAAAUAUACAUGAAGACAAAGGUUUCUGAUCAUUUGUCUUUUUAUUCCACACAGAACUGAUAAUAUUAGGAUUGGAGUGGAUGGUGGGAGUGAGAUAACAAACACCAGUUUCUUGGAGCUUGCCAGCAGAACAGAUCUGAUGAAUUAAGUAUUUCACACGUUAUAUAGCAUGGGAGGAAAGAGACCAUCUACUAGCUUCCUCUGGGUCCCUCCUUAUGUCGGCGUAGAGGGGAAUGAGCAGGUAGACAUCUUGGCUCAACAAGCAGUGAGAACUUCAAGUUCCAAAAAGUAAAAAUGAGGCUAAACCACAUUCAGUCCAGCAAGAGCACCGAGACAAUAAACAGCCCAGACACUCUCUCCUCAGACUCCGAGGACAAAACUCAGAGACUGAGGAGGAGUUUUCAUGUCCAUGUCGGCCGUCUGCUCAACUCUGAGCCUCAACUGGACUUUUAAGCUUCUCCUGUAAAGUCAGCGGACCAAACAAAACAGGGCACGAGGAAUAACUUUUCAUAAGGAAGAUUGAACAUCUCUAUUGGUUGUUUGAUUCAGUAGUUACUGUCCUGUAAUAAUCUGUAAUAAUCUGUUUUAGCUAAUUAGAGCUAACUCGUGUUUAGAAGUUUAAUCUAUGAAACUUUAUAAAUCAUGUAUUCAUAACACAGAUGUAGGUUACAGCUGACAUCAUGAAAUAAGCCUGAGUGUGACUGGUUUGACACUGACACUGAAAGGGAGUUUCUCCUCCAGGCUGCUCUGGAGGUUUCAGGACGGUUUUUGUGAAGUGUC